UCCUCCCUCAAACCUCGCGUUUGGUGUUGGACCGCGUUGGGGGCCUCGUCCCCAACUGGUCUCAAAGACAAUGACGGCGUCCGUGGGACCCUCUUCGCAUCGAGCUUUCCGGAGCACGCGUCGAGUUUUCAAGGCCCCAGGGACCCGGUCACCGACUUUUUGGGUUCACCCCCGAAAAUCACUUCUCAA
rnacentral:misc_RNA from 1 species